AUUUCAGUAUAAGUAUAUCCCAUGGCAUAUUUGGGACAUACUUAUACUAAAA
rfam:Camelus ferus unplaced genomic scaffold scaffold1120, whole genome shotgun sequence.